CGUGGGGGAUAACCUCGGGAAACCGGGACUAAUACCGCAUACGUCCUACGGGAGAAAGCGGGGGACCUUCGGGCCUCGCGCGGUUGGACGGACCGAUGUGCGAUUAGCUAGUUGGUAGGGUAAUGGCCUACCAAGGCGACGAUCGCUAGCUGGUCUGAGAGGAUGAUCAGCCACACUGGGACUGAGACACGGCCCAGACUCCUACGGGAGGCAGCAGUGGGGAAUAUUGGACAAUGGGCGAAAGCCUGAUCCAGCAAUGCCGCGUGUGUGAAGAAGGCCUUCGGGUUGUAAAGCACUUUUAUCAGGAGCGAAAUACUAUCGGUUAAUAACCGGUGGGGCUGACGGUACCUGAGGAAUAAGCACCGGCUAACUUCGUGCCAGCAGCCGC
rnacentral:rRNA from 1 species